rnacentral:lncRNA from 1 species
AUGGCCCAGAACUAAUCUAAACCCAGAUUGAAUGGCUAAGAAUGAAUCCGACUGAGAGAAGGAUUAAAACUGUGGAUUUUGAUCAGAUCUGGGUGGUCCAAGCUCCAUCUGACGGUCAAGAAUAUUCCUAAGGAGAUUAAUAUGAUUUUUAAGGGUUUUAAGAAUCCUUUUCCUAUCAAAAAAUUAUAAAAAAUUCAUCCAUAAAUAGGAGAUCCAGGAAUAAGCUUUGAGAGC